rnacentral:lncRNA from 1 species
UCCCAUCAACUCCUCAAACUUCUGAAACCUUCUUAUUUGCUUUUGCUUUCAUCCUCCUCUUUUCUAUUCAAAUAUGGUAAAGUAUUUCGGGGCUUACUCCUCCUUCUAAUUUGCUUUUUGUUCUAUUUUUGGUGGCUUUUGAUGAAUUUCACCCGUGACUUAUCGAUUUUCUUGCUAUAUAGAGGUGCAAAAAUGGUUACUUUAUCUUUUCAUUUCUUCUAUUUUUUUUAACCAUAUCUCUGUUUUAAUUUCUUUUCACAGUUGUUGCUGCAUGUAUUAUCAAUUGGCUUCAUGUAAACAGACAAAUAAUGAAAGUUAAUUAAUUAGUAGAAAUACCAGCUCUUUUAUCUCUUAUUGGUCAUUUGUGGUCGCUUUUAAUUCUUUUGAGCGUUGCAUGUUUUUAGUUUCACUUGUUGUUUUCAAUAUGGAAUUUGAGAUUUUACCUUUUAUUUUUGAAAUUGGAAAUCUUAAAAUUUUCAAAUCGAUGGAUCACUUAAUCGAAGUAUAUGUAGUUUCACAUUAGGUUUUUCAGAUUGAUGGACAAAUAGAUUGGGCAACUUGAUCUAUGAAUAUCAACUUCACUCAAUGAGCUUCCAUGUACUUUGUUUAGUGUGCACCAUUGUAUUUGGAACCUUCCCAUUGUUUGGUCCAUCCCUGAAAUCAAAGCUCAAUUGAUAUCUCAAAAACCAAUUUCAUCCCAUGUAGAGUCUUUUCUGGAUAAUGGAAUAGAGUUAACAUCUACAAAAAUAUGUUUAUAAUUUACAUGUCUUGGGAUUAGAAAAAAAUACUUGAGAAUGAAUCUAGAGUGGAAAAAUAGAUAUCUUUCUUGCCUUCGAAUUCUUAAAACUUGAAGUUUGAAUACUUGUCAUUUAAAAUUAUUGAGCAGAUUUAGAUAUUCAAGAAGUCGAAGAUGGUGAUGAUAUCUCUUGUGCACUUCUCCAGUUUUUCAGAGUGAACUAAAGUUUAUAUGCUAAGAUACAACAUGAUCCCUAAGAAGUCAUAAAGUUUAUCGCUUAUAUGAAUUGAAGGAAUAACUGCAUGAUUACUAACACAAGAAAAAGCUCAAACACCAGACCUUUCACCUGCUUUGAUAAUUUCAUUUAGAAUGCACCUUUUUAACAAUGUGUUAUAAGAGAUUCAGUUAUGAUCCAUUGAAACACAAAGAAAGAGCAAAACCAAAUAAAACAAAGAUUCAAAAAACACAAGAAAAAGCAGUGAAUAGAAAAGAAAGACGAAGAACUUUGUUGGGGCCUGAAAGUAGACGAAAUGAAGUGAAUAAAGAAACUGACUCCUUACUUUUUAGUGUUUUUAACAAACUUUAUUUCUCUUUCUGAUCAGUUGAAAAUCAUUAUGAUUAGAAAUCUUAAACUCUGCACCUUGUAGUUGUGUUGUGCUCAACUUAUUCUAUGAAUGUUGUAUUUGUUGUAAGAUGAGAGUGUAUCAUAAAAUAAUUGGCUACCUUAUUUAGAGAUAUGCAAUUAUUUGUAUUUUUUCUCCUGCUUAUAUUUAUUGAUUUUGUAGUGCUUAUACACCAAGCAGUUGAAGAGAACUCUAUGAAUUAUAUAGUUCAUUUUUCACAGUAUCUAUUAUGCCUUUUUUAUAUACGUUAGAAUAUUCAAAUUAUUUUUUUUUAAUCUUUUUGGUUGUGAAACUGUGAGAUCUCCUUAAAUCCCAAGUCGAAUUUCAUCUUAUCUUCAAAAAGUUAAAAAUGCGCAACCACCGACUCCUCAAAACUUAACUGGUAUGCUUCAGUGCUUUAGAGAUUUGAUAAUGGUAUACAUUUUGCAUACUUCUUAAUUUCCUUAUCAAGUUGAAUCCUGACAAUAAUAACUGAUUGGUAAUUGUGUUGUACAAGAAGGAAGUUAGUGGAACAUGACCAAUUGGAAUAACUUUAGGAAAAUGGAAAUCUUGAGCUAGACGCAGUUAUUUCAAGAAGAUGUAGUGGAUGGUAUAACUUGCUUAAUGGCGACAUGUCUGUGAUAAUUUAAACAAACUAAGGGUAUGAAUUAUUACUCAGUUUGACAGUAUAGUAACUAUAUAAUCUGUAUCAUGCAUUUUUGUUUUGUUUACUUAGCAUCACAUUUAGUGUUCUCUCUAAAUUCAAUAACAUUCUUCAAAGCAACUUUCUUGAUUCUAAAUCAGGCUAUCACUUUUUAUUAUUUUGAGUUUUGACUAACAAAUUGUGGUAUUUACACUUAACAGACAUUGCUGUAUCUGAUUAUGUUUCAAUGUAUAUUACGUUAUUUCUGGGUUUGGAAGGUCAUCACAUUGUGUUUCCUGAGGUAGCUAAGGAUAAAAAAAAUUUGAACUUCUGAAAAUUAUAUGUUCUGGGAUAAUUUUUCUUUCAAAACAUAUGUGAUACCCAAAGAGAACGAUAGGGAGGACAACCAACUUUUACUGCUAGAUUUAAUGCUCUGAAUGCUGGUUGAAUUAAGUAUUGAAAUUUGUAUUGACAAUGUAUGGUAAUUGUAAGUGCCUCUAUUUUAAUAAGCAUGAUUAUUAACUUGGAAUAAAUGAUAGUAACAUGUUAAAUUACUCUAUUGGUGUAUAUAUCUUAAAUUCAUGGCAUAUUGAUAAGCAUGUACCCUGCGUGGAUACUCACUUUUCUUGAUGAAUUUAUGUAGACUGCAAUUCGAUUUUGAGAGGAGAGAGCAGCGCUUCUCAUCUACAGACAAUAUUCAAGCAAUUUUUAAGUAUGUCGAUUCACUAGGAUUGCCUGGAAUUGGAAAUUACAGAUUGAUAUCAAACUUUUCAUGAAAACUGUAUGUUGUAGAUCAAAUAGGAGUGACACUCAAAAGGAGCUACUUCUCCAUAGCAACUAUGCAAAACCCUUCAUCACCAUGUUAAGCACAACUUUAUGAAAUCAAGAGGAUAAGUAAUUGACAACAGAGUUGUUGCCAUCGAAAAUGUACAUAUAGAUUUGCAAGGAAGUACUUCUUAAUUGUACAUUUACUUUACAGCUAAGAAGAGGUUAAGAAGAGAACUAUGCAAUGGAUGGAAAAUACAUUAGUCAAUAUGUGAAUACUUCAACCACUACUGAUACUUUAGUGUAUCCAAGAGAAUGUAUCAUUUGUCAUCACGUAUUUUGUGUCAUAUGUAAAUAAAUCCAAUGUUACCUGCAAUAUUACAUAUACG